rnacentral:rRNA from 1 species
AGACGUCUACAUUAGAUACCCGCGUAGUCCUAGCCGUAAACGAUACUCGCUAGGUGUCGGCCACGGUGCGACCGUUGUCGGUGCCGUAGGGAAGCCGUGAAGCGAGCCACCUGGGAAGUACGGCCGCAAGGCUGAAACUUAAAGGAAUUGGCGGGGGAGCACAACAACGGGUGGAGCUUGCGGUUUAAUUGGAUUCAACGCCGGAAAUCUUACCGGGACCGACAGCAACAUGAAGGCCAAGCUGAAGACUUUGCCGGAUUAGCUG